CUUACUCUUUGAGCGUGAAGUAAGAUGCGCUAGUUAAACUCGGUGAAUUGCUGGAAGGCUAAACAUAAAAAAUAUGCAUGCUAAUCAGCAGCCAAGUCUAGGAAAGGCAUAAAAGUACUAGAAAGGUUCAGAGACUAGAGGAUUGAAUAGCCCAAUAAUAAUAUCCUCCACGAGUGCCGGGCUUAGCAAACAUAUAUUCAUAUGCAGAUUUAUAAUAUUGAAGAUAAAGGAAACAUUUAAGGUUUGCUAAGAUGAUAUAGUCCAAACUGAGCUAGAAAUGACUAG
rnacentral:ncRNA from 1 species